AUCUCAUGUUGAGGACAACCUGUACACAACCUUUUAAAUCUUUCCCAAUAAUCAUAUAAAUCUUCAAAUGGUUUCUGUCUAAUGCUUGAGAUUUCUCUUCUAACACC